rnacentral:rRNA from 1 species
CAACGCCGCGUGAACGAUGAAGGUCUGCGGAUCGUAAAGUUCUGUUGCAGGGGAAGAUAAUGACGGUACCCUGUGAGGAAGCCCCGGCUAACUACGUGCCAGCAGCCGCGGUAAUACGUAGGGGGCUAGCGUUAUCCGGAUGGACUGGGCGUAAAGGGUGCGUAGGUGGUCCUUCAAGUCGGUGGUUAAAGGCUACGGCUCAACCGUAGUAAGCCGCCGAAACUGGAGGACUUGAGUGCAGGAGAGGAAAGUGGAAUUCCCAGUGUAGCGGUGAAAUGCGUAGAUAUUGGGAGGAACACCAGUAGCGAAGGCGGCUUUCUGGACUGCAACUGACACUGAGGCACGAAAGCGUGGGUAGCAAACGGGAUUAGAUACCCUGGUAGUCCACGCUGUAAACGAUGAGUACUAGGUGUCGGGGGUUACCCCCCUCGGUGCCGCAGCUAACGCAUUAAGUACUCCGCCUGGGGAGUACGCACGCAAGUGUGAAACUCAAAGGAAUUGACCGGGACCCGCACAAGUACCGGA